rnacentral:rRNA from 1 species
GACGAACUGUCCUAACGUUGUUCGGAAUCACUGGGCUUAAAGGGCGCGUAGGCGGUCGAAUAAGUCAGGGGUGAAAUCCUACAGCUUAACUGUAGAAGUGCCUUUGAUACUGUUCGUCUGGAGGGAGGUAGGGGUGUGCGGAACUUCCAGUGGAGCGGUGAAAUGCGUUGAUAUUGGAAGGAACGCCGGAGGCGAAAGCGGCGCACUGGACCUCUUCUGACGCUGAGGCGCGAAAGCUAGGGGAGCAAACGGG